CAGGCGCCCUCGGGACGCGCAGCUCCCUACGCCCCCGCGGGCUCGGGGAGGGGCUGGGGGGCGCGGGCACCGGCCCCCCCGGGGGGCUCUGGCUUCUGAGGAGUGGAGGGGCCGGCGGCUGUCGCAGCGUCGGAGCCACCCAGCGCCCGGGUGUCCCACGUGUGGCCCCAACCCGUCCAAUUCCCGAAGCCUUGGCGCCUGUGCGUUUGUUCUGCGGAGAAAAGCGGCACCGCCUGGUGGUUAGUGAAUGCUCGGGAGCCAUUGCGAGGAGGAAGCCGGCGUGUAGACGUCUCUGUGGCGCAAUCGCAUGAGACACUAGCAGCAUGUCACGUGUUUAAUACUGAGCAGUGUACUGAGCAGCACAGCUAUCAGCUGUAGAGGAGAGAGCUGAAGGUAGGCUUGCUGGGUCACGGCAUUUAUUUAUGUGAUGCAUUACUAUUAGUGGACACUAUCGACCAAUAUUCCAA
rnacentral:lncRNA from 1 species